UAUCAGUCCAUCGAGACCCAUGGAAGGUGCGCCCCAGGCAGGGGCACCAGGCUCCCUUGGGCCCCAGCAGCAGGAGAACGGGUGGGGCCGCUCCUCAAUCCUUUCUUCAAAGGAGACAAGAGGGAGAGGCACAACAGCAUUGUUCGACAAUAUGUGGAGCUCCCUCCUAUGCCCUGGUACUCCCAUCUGAUGCCAAGGCUUGAAAUGAGGGUCUUUUGUAUGGUAAGGUGGACACUCUACCAGGCGAGACAUCUCCCAGCCCUUCCUCACCACUUCUAAGAUAACUGGAGCACAGCCAGGCAGGGGCAGCUCAGCCUCCACACAGGAAGAUCCUAAGCAGCAAGGAACCAAUGGCUCACACCCUUCUUGAGGAUUGUACCCUGGGGCUGUGAAGCCUGGUCCUGGACAGGGAGACCCCAGAAGCUCUUCACCUGUUCCCACCACCACCUCUGUGAGUUUCCAUGGGUCCAGGGCCAGGACAUGCAUAGGGAUGGGGACUGGAGGCCUCAACCAGUGCCUACCAGUGACCUUGGACUUGGGAGGAGUCAAGUCCCAUGACUGCUACAGCUGUUUCCUUAAGAACAAAAGUGUCAUGUGAGGGUGGGAGAACAGCUUCUAGAAGCCAGCUGAGUAAGAAGUCUAAAAAGGAACAGGAGUGAUCUAGAAGGUGGUGCUAUAGAUAAGGCAUUAGACUAUCAAGCAUGAUAUCCUGAGAUCCAUUCCUGACAUUGCACUUGCCUGAGUAAUACUCUGGUGCUCUCUCUCUCUCUCUCUCUCUCUCUCUCAUAUAUAUAUAUACAUAUACAUAUGAGAGAAGAAGCACAUGGACAUCAACCCUCACACUGUCCACUAUCUGCCAAUAGGCCAAGUCCAACAAAAAAAAU